GGGGUUGUAGCUCAGUGGUGGAGCACUUGCCUAGCAUGUGUGAGGCACUGAGUUCAAGUCUCAGCACCA
rnacentral:tRNA from 1 species